AGAGUUUGAUCAUGGCUCAGGAUGAACGCUAGCUACAGGCUUAACACAUGCAAGUCGCGGGGCAUCAUGGUGUGUAGCAAUACACACUGAUGGCGACCGGCGGAUGGGUGAGUAACGCGUAUCCAACCUGGCCCUAUCUCGGGCACAGCCCCUCGAAAGAGGGAUUAAUUCCCGAUGUUCCCACGAGUUCGCAUGUUCUUGUGGGCAAAGGCCUUUGCCGGAUAGGGAUGGGGAUGCGUUCCAUUAGGCAGUCGGCGGGGUAACGGCCCACCGAGCCUUCGAUGGAUAGGGGUUCUGAGAGGAAGGCCCCCCACACUGGGACUGAGACACGGCCCAGACUCCUACGGGAGGCAGCAGUGAGGAAUAUUGGUCAAUGGGCGAGAGCCUGAACCAGCCAAGUAGCGUGCAGGAUGACGGCCCUAUGGGUUGUAAACUGCUUUUAUACGGGGAUAAAGUGAGGGACGCGUCCCUUUUUGUAGGUACCGUAUGAAUAAGGACCGGCUAAUUCCGUGCCAGCAGCCGCGGUAAUACGGAAGGUCCGGGCGUUAUCCGGAUUUAUUGGGUUUAAAGGGAGCGCAGGCUGAUUAUUAAGCGUGACGUGAAAUGUAGCCGCUCAACGGCUGAACUGCGUCGCGAACUGGUAGUCUUGAGUGAGUUCGAUGUUGGCGGAAUUCGUGGUGUAGCGGUGAAAUGCUUAGAUAUCACGAAGAACUCCGAUUGCGAAGGCAGCCAACAAGGCCUUUACUGACGCUAAAGCUCGAAGGUGCGGGUAUCGAACAGGAUUAGAUACCCUGGUAGUCCGCACGGUAAACGAUGGAUGCCCGCUGUUUGCGAUAUAGUGUGAGCGGCCAAGAGAAAUCGUUAAGCAUCCCACCUGGGGAGUACGCCGGCAACGGUGAAACUCAAAGGAAUUGACGGGGGCCCGCACAAGCGGAGGAACAUGUGGUUUAAUUCGAUGAUACGCGAGGAACCUUACCCGGGCUUGAAAGUUAGUGACGGCGGAUGAAAGUCUGCUUCCCUUCGGGGCACGAAACUAGGUGCUGCAUGGUUGUCGUCAGCUCGUGCCGUGAGGUGUCGGCUUAAGUGCCAUAACGAGCGCAACCCUUUUCGUCAGUUGCCAUCAGGUGAAGCUGGGCACUCUGGCGAUACUGCCACCGUAAGGUGUGAGGAAGGUGGGGAUGACGUCAAAUCAGCACGGCCCUUACGUCCGGGGCUACACACGUGUUACAAUGGGGAGUACAGAGAGUCAACCGCCGGCAACGUCGGUUUAAUCAUGAAAGCUCUCCUCAGUUCGGAUUGGGGUCUGCAACCCGACCCCAUGAAGCUGGAUUCGCUAGUAAUCGCGCAUCAGCCAUGGCGCGGUGAAUACGUUCCCGGGCCUUGUACACACCGCCCGUCAAGCCAUGAAAGCCGGGGGCGCUUGAAGUCCGUGACCGCAAGGAUCGGCCUAGAGCGAAACUGGUAAUUGGGGCUAAGUCGUAACAAGGUAACC
rnacentral:rRNA from 1 species